rnacentral:lncRNA from 10 species
ACUGGGAACUUGGUUUGUCCCCAAACCACCCCCGACCCCGCCCGCCUCCGCAGCUCAGGAAAGUUCAGCGCUUCCUCCUCCUCCUCACCUGCUCCCCACCCUGCCUCUCUUUCCUCUGGGGAGCACCUGCUGCCCAGCUCCCUGCCCCUUCCUGCCAUGCCCGGGCUCCCUCCUUCCCCGCUUCAUUCUCCGCGUCACAUAUUUUGUCUUCUUCAGCAUCAGUUCUGUAUGUUUCUGUUCCCAGGCAGUUUUGAUCCACGCGUGGUUUUAUUUCGUUGCCAUCAUUCCAUUCUCCAGUUCCCGCUGUCUUUCUCAUCAGCCUGGCUUGCCCAUGGUGGGCAUGCGACAGUUGCUAAAAAUACCCUUCGGGCGGGCGGCUGGAGAAAUCAUUUUCAUGGGGCACCCUCCCUCCCAGCCUUAUGAGAUGCGGUUGUGUUUGAUUCGUCCUGCCGCAAUUUUCCAAGGCCCCGGUUGCUGGGCUUCCUCUUCCUCAUCCUCAGCCCUGUUUCCCGACCCACUGAAUGGAUGAAGUGUCAGACAAAACGCCUGCUGUAUACCCAGUGUGAACAGGGCCGUGGUCCAGGGCAGGAUGCUGCCUUCUGAAUGCAGGGCUCACCUCCAGCUCAACUGUCCCCACUCC